rnacentral:rRNA from 1 species
AUGGCAAAAGCUUUAGCCCUGAAAUUAGGCUUAACUUUGGCACAAAGGGCGGGAUGUAACCGCCUAAUGAUCAACUCAGACAAUCUGGAGGUGAUUGAGACCAUGCAGGACGGAGGACAAUCAACAGGUGCGGCGGCGGCAAUUUUUUAUAACUGUUUUCACUAUGCAUGUGAUUUUGUCGUGAAUAGAUUCGAACGUUGUAAUAGAGAGGUAAACAAAGUAGCUCAUGAACUUGCUAGAUUAGCUAGAUUUUCUAUGACUUUGGAUUGGUUUGAGGAGCCUAUCAAUGAAAUUGUAAUGAUCCUCACGAAUGAAGUAGAGAUUAUUUCUAAUGAAUAA